UACGUAGGUGGCAAGCGUUAUCCGGAAUUAUUGGGCGUAAAGAGCGCGCAGGUGGUUGAUUAAGUCUGAUGUGAAAGCCCACGGCUUAACCGUGGAGGGUCAUUGGAAACUGGUCGACUUGAGUGCAGAAGAGGGAAGUGGAAUUCCAUGUGUAGCGGUGAAAUGCGUAGAGAUAUGGAGGAACACCAGUGGCGAAGGCGGCUUCCUGGUCUGUAGCUGACACUGAGGCGCGAAAGCGUGGGGAGCAAACAGGAUUAGA
rnacentral:rRNA from 1 species